rnacentral:rRNA from 1 species
GUCCAGACUCCUACGGGAGGCAGCAGUGGGGAAUAUUGCACAAUGGGGGAAACCCUGGUGCAGCGACGCCGCGUGAGCGAUGAAGUAUUUCGGUAUGUAAAGCUCUAUCAGCAGGGAAGAAAAUGACGGUACCUGACUAAGAAGCCCCGGCUAACUACGUGCCAGCAGCCGCGGUAAUACGUAGGGGGCAAGCGUUAUCCGGAUUUACUGGGUGUAAAGGGAGCGUAGACGGCAAUGCAAGCCAGAUGUGAAAGCCCGGGGCUCAACCCCGGGACUGCAUUUGGAACUGUGUAGCUGGAGUGUCGGAGAGGCAGGCGGAAUUCCUAGUGUAGCGGUGAAAUGCGUAGAUAUUAGGAGGAACACCAGUGGCGAAGGCGGCCUGCUGGACGAUGACUGACGUUGAGGCUCGAAAGCGUGGGGAGCAAACAGGAUUAGAUACCCUCGUAAC